UUGCUUAAUUGCCAGCAUUCAGUUGGGCACUUUAAGAGACUGCCGGUGUUAAGCCGGAGGAAGGUGGGAUGACGUCAAGUCCUCAUGGCCUUUAUGCCCAGGGCUACACACGUGCUACAAUGGGUGGUACAAAGAGAUGCCAACUCGCGAGAGCGCGCCAAUCUCAGAAAGCCAUCCUCAGUUCGGAUUGGAGUCUGCAACUCGACUCCAUGAAGUUGGAAUCGCUAGUAAUCGCGGAUCAGCACGCCGCGGUGAAUACGUUCCCGGGCCUU
rnacentral:rRNA from 1 species